rnacentral:rRNA from 1 species
UACGGGGGGGGGCAAGCGUUGUUCGGAAUUACUGGGCGUAAAGGGCUCGUAGGUGGCCAACUAAGUCAGACGUGAAAUCCCCAGGCUUAACCUGGGAACUGCGUCUGAUACUGGAUGGCUUGAAUUCGGGAGAGGGAUGCAGAAUUCCAGGUGUAGCGGUGAAAUGCGUAGAUAUCUGGAGGAAUACCGGUGGCGAAGGCGGCAUCCUGGGCCAGUACUGACGCUGAGGAGCGAAAGCGUGGGGAGCAAACAGG